rnacentral:rRNA from 1 species
GUUAGGAAUAUUGGACAAUGGGCGCAAGCCUGAUCCAGCCAUGCCGCGUGAACGAUGAAGGCCUUCGGGUUGUAAAGUUCUUUAGCCGAUGAUUAUAAUGACUGUAGUCGGAAAAUAAGCCCCGGCUAACUUCGUGCCAGCAGCCGCGGUAAUACGAAGGGGGCGAGCGUUAUUCGGAAUCACUGGGCGUAAAGCGUGCGUAGGCGGUCUCGUAAGUUAGGAGUGAAAGCCCAGGGCUCAACCUUGGAAUUGCUCUUAAUACUGCAAGGCUAGAAUCUCGGAGAGGAUAGCGGAAUUUCCAGUGUAGCAGUGAAAUGCGUAGAUAUUGGAAGGAACACCAGUGGCGUAAGCGGCUAUCUGGACGAGUAUUGACGCUGAGGCACGAAAGCGUGGGGAUCAAACAGGAUUAGAAACCCCUGUAGUCC